AGUUCCGGUUCCGCUCUGCAAGUGAGAAGUUUUUGGCCACGUCAGCUUUCCAGGUUUUUAAUGCAUUUGUUGUAAUAAAUUGCAGUUAUUUAACGACGUAAACCAAGGGAAAAGACAGAAGAUGGUGUUACUUACGAUGAUCGCGAGAGUGGCAGAUGGGCUGCCCUUGUGUGCCUCAAUCCAAGAAGACGAACAGACAGGAAGAAAUAUGCUUGAAUAUCAGAACCAAGCCAAAAUGCUAUUCCGAAAAAUAAAUGAACAGUCACCAAUUCGCUGCAGUAUUGAAACGGGUCCAUAUGUAUUUCAUUACGUGAUGAACGCGGGUGUCUGCUUUCUGGUACUGUGUGACCAGAAUUUUUCCAAGCGUGUCGCAUUCUCUUACCUGGAAGACCUACGGAAUGAGUUUGACCAGCAGCAUGGCAGCAAAGUACAAAGUGUGGCGAGGCCCUACAGCUUCAUAGAAUUCGAUACAUACAUUCAGAAGGCGAAAAAGAAUUUCACGGACUCACGAGCACGGCGGAACCUGGUGAACAUCAACACAGAACUGCAGGAUGUUCAGAGAAUCAUGGUGCAGAAUAUAGAUGAUGUGUUACAGAGGGGUGAAGCCCUGUCAGUAUUGGAUGAUAAAGCCAGCAACUUGUCAACGAUGUCACAAAAGUACAAGAAAGAUGCAAGAUAUCUGAACCUGAGAUCGUCAUAUGCCAAAAUUGGUGCAGUGGUUCUUGUUGUUGUUUUGUUCAUGUUAUUUGUGAGGUAUUGGUUAUUCUAGGAUGUAACAGUCAUGGGCCUCAGGUGUUAUGAUGUAUAACAAUCAAGUAUAUUGAAACAAACGUAGAGAUCGUGCAGGUGGUUAAGCUAAAUCAACAGUAUGACCAUGGCUUAUCAUAAACCACAUACAGAAGCCAAAAUUGAAGUAUUUAAAUUUAUCGAAUGUGGUAAUGUCACGUUAUUGGUACAGGUAAUUUCUUAAGGGUGUCUUUUUGUCUGUUCUUUUUGGAAGCCUCUCGGGAUGCUUUUAUGGAAAUAUUUCCGUUUCUACCCAUAGAAAGAAGGAUAUAGCAAUAUGUAGUUAUAUACACAUUGAUCAUAUAGGUAAUGAAUGUAAGGAGUUUGUUGUUCAGCUUACGCCUACACUGUUGCUGAUAUUUAGACAGGGUUAUAAUCAAUGUUGCAGCAUUGAUUUCACAUAAAGUUAUGGCAUUCCAGUUGCAGGCUUCUUUUAUCAUUUUAUUAAUAAGGGGGAUGGAGGUCUAUUAGAGGAUGUUUGGAAUAUUAAAGCCGCACUAUGCGCAUCCAAACGAUAAUUUCUCCAUACUAGACUAGCAAAUACUUCGUGUCAUGCAUA
rnacentral:misc_RNA from 1 species